CUGUAUAAUCAACCAAAGCAUUCAACGAAUGUCUGGAAAAAAUCAAUGGCCCGAGCUGGUGGGUGUGGAAUAUUCUGUUGUUGAAAGUAUAAUAAAAAAGGAGAAUCCUAACCUGAGACCACAGAAGAUUUUAGCUGGGAGUCCGAGAAUUUUGAAUUUCGAUCCUUCACGAGUUUGGGUUGAUGUUAAUGUUAAAAGUAUAUGUGUUUUAGUUCCUAACGUUGGUUGAAGACUACACAUGACUAUUGUCGUACAAGUUAUAUGUACGUAAGAUUAUAAAGUAUAUGAAAGUAUUAAUAAGGUAGUAUCGAACUACCACUUUAACUAU